rnacentral:rRNA from 1 species
UACCCGCAGCACAAGUGGUGGUCAUUAUUAUUGGGCCUAAAGCGUCCGUAGCUUGCGUGUUAGAUGCCUGGGUAAAUCGAUGCGCUUAACGUAUCGAAUUCCGGGUAGACCGGCACGCUCGAGACCGGGAGAGGUGUAGGGUACUCGGGGGGUAGGGGUAAAAUCCUGUAAUCCUCCGGGGACGACCAGUGGCGAAGGCGCUACACUAGAACGGCUCUGACAGUGAGGGACGAAGCCCUGGGGCGCAAACCGG